CCUACGGGAGGCAGCAGUAAGGAAUAUUGGACAAUGGCCGAAAGGCUGAUCCAGCCAUGCCGCGUGCAGGAUGAAGGUGCUCUGCAUUGUAAACUGCUUUUAUUUGGGAAUAAACCCCUCUACGUGUAGAGGGCUGAAUGUACCAAAAGAAUAAGGGACGGCUAACUUCGUGCCAGCAGCCGCGGUAAUACGAAGGUCCCAAGCGUUAUCCGGAUUUAUUGGGUUUAAAGGGUGCGUAGGCGGGUUGUUAAGUCAGUGGUGAAAGCCUACAGCUUAACUGUAGAAUUGCCAUUGAUACUGACGAUCUUGAGUAUGGUUGAGGUGGGCGGAAUGUAUCAUGUAGCGGUGAAAUGCUUAGAUAUGAUACAGAACACCGAUUGCGAAGGCAGCUCACUAAGCCAUCACUGACGCUGAGGCACGAAAGCGUGGGGAGCAAACAGGAUUAGAUACCCCUGUAGUC
rnacentral:rRNA from 1 species